rnacentral:rRNA from 1 species
GACGAACGCUGGCGGCGUGCUUAACACAUGCAAGUCGAGCGGUAAGGCCCUUUCGGGGGUACACGAGCGGCGAACGGGUGAGUAACACGUGGGUGACCUGCCCUUAGCUCUGGGAUAAGCCUGGGAAACGUGGGUCUAAUACCGGAUAUGACCUCAUGACUCAUGUUGUGGGGUGGAAAGCCUUGUGCGGCUAGGGAUGGGCCCGCGGUCUAUCAGCUUGUUGGUGGGGUAAUUGCCUACCAAGGCGACGACGGGUAGCCGGCCUGAGAGGGCGACCGGCCACACUGGGACUGAGACACGGCCCAGACUCCUACGGGAGGCAGCAGUGGGGAAUCUUGCGCAAUGGGCGAAAGCCUGACGCAGCGACGCCGCGUGA